AACGAACGCUGGCGGCAUGCCUAACACAUGCAAGUCGAACGAGACCUUCGGGUCUAGUGGCGCACGGGUGCGUAACGCGUGGGAAUCUGCCCUUGGGUUCGGAAUAACAGUUGGAAACGACUGCUAAUACCGGAUGAUGACGUAAGUCCAAAGAUUUAUCGCCCAAGGAUGAGCCCGCGUAGGAUUAGCUAGUUGGUGAGGUAAAGGCUCACCAAGGCGACGAUCCUUAGCUGGUCUGAGAGGAUGAUCAGCCACACUGGGACUGAGACACGGCCCAGACUCCUACGGGAGGCAGCAGUGGGGAAUAUUGGACAAUGGGCGAAAGCCUGAUCCAGCAAUGCCGCGUGAGUGAUGAAGGCCUUAGGGUUGUAAAGCUCUUUUACCCGGGAUGAUAAUGACAGUACCGGGAGAAUAAGCUCUGGCGAACUCCGU
rnacentral:rRNA from 1 species